AGCAGUAUUGAACUGAAGAGUUUGAUCAUGGCUCAGAUUGAACGCUGGCGGCAGGCCUAACACAUGCAAGUCGAGCGGAUGAAGGGAGCUUGCUCCUGGAUUCAGCGGCGGACGGGUGAGUAAUGCCUAGGAAUCUGCCUGGUAGUGGGGGAUAACGUCCGGAAACGGGCGCUAAUACCGCAUACGUCCUGAGGGAGAAAGUG
rnacentral:rRNA from 1 species